UACGUAGGUGGCAAGCGUUGUCCGGAUUUACUGGGCGUAAAGAGCGCGCAGGCGGUCGGAUAAGUCGAAUGUGAAAGCCCCCGGCUCAACUGGGGAGGGUCAUUCGAUACUGUUCGACUCGAAGGCAGGAGAGGGAAGUGGAAUUCCCGGUGUAGUGGUGAAAUGCGUAGAUAUCGGGAGGAACACCAGUGGCGAAGGCGACUUCCUGGCCUGUUCUUGACGCUGAGGCGCGAAAGCUAGGGUAGCAAACGGG
rnacentral:rRNA from 1 species